rnacentral:rRNA from 1 species
UGCUCCCUUAGGUCAGCGGCGGACGGGUGAGUAACACGUGGGUAACCUGCCUGUAAGACUGGGAUAACUCCGGGAAACCGGGGCUAAUACCGGAUGCUUGAUUGAACCGCAUGGUUCAAUUAUAAAAGGUGGCUUUUAGCUACCACUUACAGAUGGACCCGCGGCGCAUUAGCUAGUUGGUGAGGUAACGGCUCACCAAGGCAACGAUGCGUAGCCGACCUGAGAGGGUGAUCGGCCACACUGGGACUGAGACACGGCCCAGACUCCUACGGGAGGCAGCAGUAGGGAAUCUUCCGCAAUGGACGAAAGUCUGACGGAGCAACGCCGCGUGAGUGAUGAAGGUUUUCGGAUCGUAAAACUCUGUUGUUAGGGAAGAACAAGUACCGUUCGAAUAGGGCGGUACCUUGACGGUACCUAACCAGAAAGCCACGGCUAACUACGUGCCAGCAGCCGCGGUAAUACGUAGGUGGCAAGCGUUGUCCGGAAUUAUUGGGCGUAAAGCGCGCGCAGGCGGUUUCUUAAGUCUGAUGUGAAAGCCCCCGGCUCAACCGGGGAGGGUCAUUGGAAACUGGGGAACUUGAGUGCAGAAGAGGAGAGUGGAAUUCCACGUGUAGCGGUGAAAUGCGUAGAGAUGUGGAGGAACACCAGUGGCGAAGGCGACUCUCUGGUCUGUAACUGACGCUGAGGCGCGAAAGCGUGGGGAGCGAACAGGAUUAGAUACCCUGGUAGUCCACGCCGUAAACGAUGAGUGCUAAGUGUUAGAGGGUUUCCGCCCUUUAGUGCUGCAGCAAACGCAUUAAGCACUCCGCCUGGGGAGUACGGUCGCAAGACUGAAACUCAAAGGAAUUGACGGGGGCCCGCACAAGCGGUGGAGCAUGUGGUUUAAUUCGAAGCAACGCGAAGAACCUUACCAGGUCUUGACAUCCUCUGACAACCCUAGAGAUAGGGCUUCCCCUUCGGGGGCAGAGUGACAGGUGGUGCAUGGUUGUCGUCAGCUCGUGUCGUGAGAUGUUGGGUUAAGUCCCGCAACGAGCGCAACCCUUGAUCUUAGUUGCCAGCAUUCAGUUGGGCACUCUAAGGUGACUGCCGGUGACAAACCGGAGGAAGGUGGGGAUGACGUCAAAUCAUCAUGCCCCUUAUGACCUGGGCUACACACGUGCUACAAUGGGCAGAACAAAGGGCAGCGAAGCCGCGAGGCUAAGCCAAUCCCACAAAUCUGUUCUCAGUUCGGAUCGCAGUCUGCAACUCGACUG